GAGAAACGAAGUGGAAAACAGAUUUGAACCAUGUUUGAACCCUCGCUUCUGUUUGUCAGUACUGUGAGAAAACAUCGUUACCGAUGAGGUGUGGAUGCUAAAACUAACUCUGGAGCUGUUUUUUGUCGAACCCGAGACUGGAUGCUGAACACACCUGCGACAUGAAGCUGCUGCAGCCUGGACAGGAACACCAGCUCUCACCUUACAAACCAAACAGGUGUCACCACUUUGCCCACGAUCGCAGAGUCUUCACAUAGUGAAGUUAUUUGAAACCAGAACAGAGGCCUCCAGGAUUCAAACCAUUAAAUCACAGAGUGAAGAGACAGACGUGAAGAUAUUUCCAGAAGGUCUUCAACUGCUGUCGUCUUCUCCUUCUGCAGAGAAAAGAACACGUGUUAAUCACAGAAACUGAUCAGUAAAUCUAAAUAUUUUUAA